UUGACCUCGGAUCAGGUAGGAAUACCCGCUGAACUUAAGCAUAUCAAAAGUCGGAGGAA
rnacentral:rRNA from 1 species